GUCGGGGUGGCGAAACCGGCAGACGCACUGGACUUAAAAUCCAGAGACCGCAAGGUCAUGCGGGUUCGAGUCCCGCCUCCGACA
rnacentral:tRNA from 1 species